GCCUAACACAUGCAAGUCGAACGAGGUGCCAUCGGGCUUGCUCGAUGGCUACCUAGUGGCGGACGGCUGAGUAACGCGUAGGUGACCUACCCGGAAGUGGGGAAUAACUGCCCGAAAGGGUGGCUAAUACCGCAUACGGUCGACGAUUCGGUUCGUCGUCCAAAGGAGUAAUCCGCUUCCGGCGGGGCCUGCGUCCGAUUAGCUAGUUGGUGGGGUAACGGCUCACCAAGGCGACGAUCGGUAGCUGGUCUGAGAGGAUGAUCAGCCAGACUGGGGCUGAGAACGGCCCAGACUCCUACGGGAGGCAGCAGUCGGGAAUUUUGCCCAAUGGACGAAAGUCUGAGGCAGCAACUCCGCGUGAGGGACGAAGGCUCUCGGGUCGUAAACCUCUUUUCUCAGGGAAGAUCCAAGACGGUACCUGAGGAAUAAGCCACGGCUAACUACGUGCCAGCAGCCGCGGUAAU
rnacentral:rRNA from 1 species